rnacentral:rRNA from 2 species
ACGCUGGCGGCGUGCCUAAUACAUGCAAGUCGAACGAACUCUGGUAUUGAUUGGUGCUUGCAUCAUGAUUUACAUUUGAGUGAGUGGCGAACUGGUGAGUAACACGUGGGAAACCUGCCCAGAAGCGGGGGAUAACACCUGGAAACAGAUGCUAAUACCGCAUAACAACUUGGACCGCAUGGUCCGAGUUUGAAAGAUGGCUUCGGCUAUCACUUUUGGAUGGUCCCGCGGCGUAUUAGCUAGAUGGUGGGGUAACGGCUCACCAUGGCAAUGAUACGUAGCCGACCUGAGAGGGUAAUCGGCCACAUUGGGACUGAGACACGGCCCAAACUCCUACGGGAGGCAGCAGUAGGGAAUCUUCCACAAUGGACGAAAGUCUGAUGGAGCAACGCCGCGUGAGUGAAGAAGGGUUUCGGCUCGUAAAACUCUGUUGUUAAAGAAGAACAUAUCUGAGAGUAACUGUUCAGGUAUUGACGGUAUUUAACCAGAAAGCCACGGCUAACUACGUGCCAGCAGCCGCGGUAAUACGUAGGUGGCAAGCGUUGUCCGGAUUUAUUGGGCGUAAAGCGAGCGCAGGCGGUUUUUUAAGUCUGAUGUGAAAGCCUUCGGCUCAACCGAAGAAGUGCAU